rnacentral:rRNA from 1 species
UCGGGAAUUUUGGGCAAUGGGCGAAAGCCUGACCCAGCAACGCCGCGUGAAGGAUGAAAUCCCUCGGGAUGUAAACUUCGCAAGAACGGGAAGAAUAAGUCUGUGUAAAUAUCACAGGUGAUGACGGUACCGUUUGUAAGCUCCGGCUAACUCCGUG